rnacentral:rRNA from 1 species
UGGGGAAUAUUGGACAAUGGGCGCAAGCCUGAUCCAGCCAUGCCGCGUGAGUGAUGAAGGCCUCAGGGUUGUAAAGCUCUUUCACCGGUGAAGAUAAUGACGGUAACCGGAGAAGAAGCCCCGGCUAACUUCGUGCCAGCAGCCGCGGUAAUACGAAGGGGGCUAGCGUUGUUCGGAUUUACUGGGCGUAAAGCGCACGUAGGCGGACUUUUAAGUCAGGGGUGAAAUCCCGGGGCUCAACCCCGGAACUGCCUUUGAUACUGGAAGUCUUGCGUAUGGUAGAGGUGAGUGGAAUUCCGAGUGUAGAAGUGAAAUUCGUAGAUAUUCGGAGGAACACCAGUGGCGAAGGCGGCUCACUGGACCAUUACUGACGCUGAAGUGCGAAAGCGUGGGGAGCAAACAGG